ACGGACUCAUCAUUCCAGCCAAUCAGCAGCAGACCCUUCCUCCCAGACCCUUCCACCUCCUGGACAGCAUCCAUUUUGAAGCUGCAUUCUUAGUGAGCUGUCCAGGAGAUGGGAGGGUCUGGGAGGGAGGGUCUGCUGCUGAUUGGCUGGAAUGAUAAGUCCG
rnacentral:miRNA from 1 species